rfam:Mycobacterium neoaurum VKM Ac-1815D, complete genome.
GGUCAUGAGUGCCAGCACUAAGCCCCGGCUUGCUGGCCGGCAACCCUCCAACCGCGGUGGGGUGCUCCGGGUGAAGACCAGGUUGAGUAGUCGCACGUCUUUUUCGAAGACAGGCGACCACACGGCAAGCGCGGGUC